rnacentral:misc_RNA from 1 species
CUGCGAGUUCGCGGGAGAGUAAGUUAUUGCCAGGGUUUUUAUUUUAUACUUUAAACAUUGAUUUUAUUUUUUAUGUUUUUAGAUGUUCAUGUUUUUGAAUGUUUUAUUCAAAUAAUAUAAAAAAUAAAAUAUAUAUUGUCAUGGGUUAAACACAGAUAUAUAUUAUUCUCUGUGGCACAAACAAAUUGGCAAAAUAGAGAUGGGGGAUAAAAAUAUGGGCCCAGUGAUAAGAGUCUCUGGGGAGUGCCCCCGA